CAGUAGCCGCGGUAAUACGAAGGGUGCAAGCGUUAAUCGGAAUUACUGGGCGUAAAGCGUGCGUAGGCGGUGAGUUAAGUCUGCUGUGAAAUCCCCGGGCUCAACCUGGGAACGGCAGUGGAUACUGGCUCGCUAGAGUGUGUCAGAGGAUGGUGGAAUUCCCGGUGUAGCGGUGAAAUGCGUAGAGAUCGGGAGGAACAUCAGUGGCGAAGGCGACCAUCUGGGACAACACUGACGCUGAGGCACGAAAGCGUGGGGAGCAAACAGGAUUAGAGACCCCUGUAGUCCCUGUCUCUUAUAC
rnacentral:rRNA from 1 species